rnacentral:rRNA from 1 species
UGGGGAAUAUUGGACAAUGGGCGGAAGCCUGAUCCAGCCAUGCCGCGUGUGUGAAGAAGGCCUUUUGGUUGUAAAGCACUUUAAGCGAGGAGGAGGCUACUUGGAUUAAUACUCUAGGAUAGUGGACGUUCCUCGCAGAAUAAGCACCGGCUAACUCUGUGCCAGCAGCCGCGGUAAUACAGAGGGUGCGAGCGUUAAUCGGAUUUACUGGGCGUAAAGCGUGCGUAGGCGGCUUCUUAAGUCGGAUGUGAAAUCCCUGAGCUUAACUUAGGAAUUGCAUUCGAUACUGGGAAGCUAGAGUAUGGGAGAGGAUGGUAGAAUUCCAGGUGUAGCGGUGAAAUGCGUAGAGAUCUGGAGGAAUACCUAUGGCGAAGGCAGCCAUCUGGCCUAAUACUGACGCUGAGGUACGAAAGCAUGGGGUGCAAACAGG